UUCCGGUUGAUCCCGCCGGAGGCCAUUGCUAUCGGUGUCCGAUUUAGCCAUGCGAGUCGCACGUUCAACGUGGCGAACGGCUCAGUAACACGUGGUCAAACUACCCUACGGACCGUGAUAACCUCGGGAAACUGAGGCUAAUAACGGAUGUCGCUCCCGAGCUGGGAUGCUGGGAGCGAUAAAGCUCCGGCGCCGUAGGAUGUGACUGCGGCCGAUUAGGUAGACGGUGGGGUAAUGGCCCACCGUGCCGAUAAUCGGUACGGGUUGUGAGAGCAAGAACCCGGAGACGGACUCUGAGACAAGAGUCCGGGCCCUACGGGGCGCAGCAGGCGCGAAACCUUUACACUGCACGCAAGUGCGAUAGGGGGACACCGAGUGCGAGGGCAUAGAGCCCUCGCUUUUGUGCAUCGUAAGGUGGUACACGAAUAAGGGCUGGGCAAGACCGGUGCCAGCCGCCGCGGUAACACCGGCAGCCCGAGUGAUGGCCGCUUUUAUUGGGCCUAAAGCGUCCGUAGCCGGCCGUUCAGGUCCGUCGGGAAAUCCACUGGCUCAACCAGUGGGCGUCCGGCGGAAACCGAUCGGCUUGGGACAGGGAGACCAGAGGGGUACGUCCGGGGUAGGAGUGAAAUCCUGUAAUCCUGGACGGACCACCGGUGGCGAAAGCGCCUCUGGAGAACUGAUCCGACGGUGAGGGACGAAAGCUGGGGUCUCGAACCGGAUUAGAUACCCGGGUAGUCCCAGCUGUAAACAAUGCUCGCUAGGUGUGUCGCANGCUACGAGCCUGCGAUGUGCUGUA
rnacentral:rRNA from 1 species